CCUACGGGGGGCAGCAGUAGGGAAUCUUGCACAAUGGACGAAAGUCUGAUGGAGCAACGCCGCAUGAGGGAUGAAGGGCUUCGGAUCGUAAAGCUCUGUCGGCAGGGAAGAAAGAUCAAGGUAGUAAUUAGCCUUGAUUUGACGGUAACUACAUAGGAAGUACCGGCUAACUACGUGCCAGCAGCCGCGGUAAUACGGAGGUUGCAAGCGUUGACCGGAUUUAUUGGGCGUAAAGCGCGUGCAGGCGGUACGAUAAGUCUGAGGUGAAAGCCUUCGGCUCAACCUGGGAAUUGCAUCUGAAACUGGUGAACUUGAGUGCAGGAGAGGAGAGUGGAACUCCAGGUGUAGCGGUGCAAUGCGUAGAUAUAUGGAAGAACAUCAGUGGCGAAGGCGACUCUCUGGUCUGCAACUGACGCUGAGGCUCGAAAGCGUGGGUAGCGAACAGGAUUAGAUACCCUAGUAGUC
rnacentral:rRNA from 1 species